rnacentral:tRNA from 1 species
GCUACUGUAGCUUAAUCUUAAAGCAUAACACUGAAGAUGUUAAAAUGAGCCCUAGAAAGCUCCAAGAGCA